UCCUAUUUUUCAUGUUUUAUCAAUGUUCUGUGGCCGUGUUGUUUUCUAGAUGUAAGUACACUGUCUUACGAGUUGGGAAGUCACAGAGAACGACCCCGAAGCGAGAAGUCAGUUCGACUAGGACAAUUAUUGCAUGGACGAGCGAUCUUAUUAUAUACUAUUUACGUGUUUCAUCCAUAUUUAGAUUUUUCUCAAAAAAAAAAAAAUGAAAUUACCCCUUUUGCUGUGAAAAUCGGAACAAAAAGGGCGAAUCGAUAAAAGUUUAAUUUCAGCCGCUGAAAUAUUUUUGUGCAAGCAAUCGACUGUCAUAACUUCACAAGGUAGAAAAAAAUGAUGAAUGGUGCGUCAUGCGAAGCAAUAUUAGUAAAGUCCAUGGAGUAGGAGGUGUAGGAGAGUGCACUGUUAAUUCUCAAGGUUCCGUCUUAUUUCCAUGGCGCUGGGGGCCAUAGUGACCCAUGUUUUGUUUUAACAUCGUGUUUAAUAUUUGCUGAACCGUUUGUGAAAUUAAAAGUUCCAUAAUAAAAUGUAAAUAGCAAAGAAAUAUCUACUUGUCAACUCAAAAAUCGAUGAUUUAACGAAGUGUGGUUAUGGCAAGCAAACAAAACGGUAAAUGUUUUGUACCAAAUUGUCGCAGCGAAUAUUCCAGUGAAAACGUGAAAUAUACAAUAUUUAAUGUGCCGAAAAAUCCUAAGUUGUUCGCUUUAUGGGAAAAAUAUAUCGAGCUGAUCAAAUUUUAAGUACCCGCGAAGUGAUAUGUGAACGACAUUCAUUUUACUGAAGAAUGCAUAAUUAGAGAGUGGAAAUCGGGUUCUCUUUAGAUCCAGUGCAACGCUGAUUCAGGAUGAACUCUUUAUUGCCGAGACGUAGGACUUUCUCCACUGGAUCGAUCGUCAACCCAUGGCGGGUAAUCAAAUCCAUUCCCAGAAUGAAGUCAUCUUUGAUGCUAGCCACGAGAACCCGAUGUCUUAUUCUCAGCUGACCAAUACAGAUUUCGACUUCUGCCUGGCCCAUGAUUAGCGCCGACUCCCCAAUCUGUCUUCAACCUACUUAAUUGUUUCGGAUGAAGUCGCUAGGUCUUUAGUUCUCACGAGUCCUCGACGUAUAAUUUAUACGAGCCCUAACAACUAUAUAUUGGGAUAAAGACAGUUUCUCAAAAAAAUCCGGUACAUAUUUUUGAUAUCAUUCAAUUCAUUUGGACUAAAUGCAAAUUUUGCAUGGGCAUCUAUUUUGGUAGAGAAUGAGGUAUUUUGCAAAUUAAUAAAUUUUCUUAGAGCGGAAAAAUUGUCACCUAAAUAAAAA